GAGCGGUGGAGGCUGUGUGUGCUGUUUUUCAAUCGCCCAAACAGGACGAGACCAGCUGUCCAAUUGCUGACAAGAAUAUCAAACGGUAGGAAUGGGAAUGUAUCCAAUCAGCGUCGACGUUGUUUCAGAACGUUUCAGAAGCAUGAUGGGCGAUGGAGCUACCGCCAAAGGACUCGUUGGUGUUCGGUAGAACUCGGCAGAGUCGUUUUUGGUCGUGACGCAUAUGUAACAUGGACGCCGCCGGUGACUACAACCAGCAUGGAUACCGGAUCUCAGCAGCCACUGAAUUCAGUUCGGUCUCUUCUCCAGCAUCCGUUCGAGAGGAGAACUAUGGUGGAAAAACUUAAUGUCAAAGAGCUUGGACCAGAUCAGCCCGACGUAAAGAUAAGCCAGCAGGAGAAGGAGAGAGAUAAGGCAUGGAUGAGUCAGGAGUUACAGACAUGAAACAUUUUUCUGAGAAGGUGAAGAAACACGAGUCAUCCCGGGCACACAUGGACAACAACACGGUGAAGCUAGCCAUGCUAGGCAGCAGAGCUAACGUUGCCAUGCAGGGAACAACAGCAGCUGGGUGCAGAGGUUUUUCACACCAUCCUGAGCCAUGCAAAAGAAGAUUCUUGUCACCACACCCAUGACCACAGCCGAAUCAGAAAGGUGCUUUUCUACUUUAAAGAGGAUUAAGACUUUCCUUGAGGAACACCAUGACACAGGAUGGGCUGAAUGCUCUUGCCAUGCUCUCCAUGGAAAAAAAAGCUUGUCACAAACAUUCCUGACUUCAAUAAAAAGCUAAUCGAGAGCUUUGCCACUCAGAAGGACAGAAGGGCAAAAUUUCUGUACAAAUGAGGUAUCACACACACACACAUGCAUCCACUUGAUCUUUGUAUAAAUUUGACCUUGGCACAACACUCCAGAAAUAUUUAACAGUGUAAAUUUCUGGCAUUUUGUCUAAGUGGUGUUUACUACCAUUACUGUAACAGUGACCUGCUCGUAAUUUUUGGUGUUCACUCAAAUGUUGAAAUUAAACAAAAUGUUUUUGUUACUUGCCUCUUGCAUUGCCUAUUUACCAUUUAUGGCCAUGUUAUUUUAUGUGCAAUUUAAUGCAGUAUUUUUCAACCUUGGUCUGCAAGGCAGCGUGCCAAUAGUCAGACACAUCUGGAUUAAUCAGUUUGUCCAAUGAUGUAAGACAGGAAAUAAAAGAGCUGUGCUUAAUUCAGGAAAUAGUGAAGUUGUGCACAAAGCUCAGAAAGCACAAGUUUGUUUAAAAAAAAAAUAGCACAGCCCCACCAAAAAUAUUUUUCACCAGCCGCCACUGGCCACACGUAAAGAGGAAUUAACAUGAUGAACUAAGGCAUCAAUUUGUGAGGGGCUAGACCUGAAAAUAUUGCCCUCUGCUACAUGCCUCUGAGAUGCUGAGGACAGUAAAGAUGGAACAGUUGACUUAAAACAUGCAACUGCUUUGUCAGAUAGAGACCGACUAUAGUGAAAUUUACUUUCAUGUCUCGAGAACUCAGUUACAAAAAAACUCAAAGGUUAUCAGAAAGUGGUCCGAGAGGACUGGAUUAUGUGGAAAGAUCGUUAUUUCCUCAUAUUUUAUGCCAUAAGUCAGCACAAGGUCCAAUGUAUGAUGGCAGGAGUGGGUGGAGCUAUGUAUUCUUUGAGUAAAACCAAUUGAGUCUAAGAUAUUACUAAAGGCUACAUUGAGGCUAUCAUUUUCAACGUCCACAUAAAUAUUAAAAUCCCCCACUACAAUGACCUUAUCAGUAUUUAGCACCAAAUCAGAUAAAAAAUCAGAGAUCUGAUCCAAAAACUCAGAGUAAGGGCCUGGUGGACGAUAUAAAACUACAAACAAGAGUGAUUUUACAGUUUUGCAAUCUGGAUUAGGAAAACUAAGAAGAAGAUGUUCAAACGAACUGUAACUAUUAAUCGGUAAGGGACUGAUUAAUAAGUCCGAAUGAAAAAUGGUUGCUACUCCUCCUCCUCGCCCUGUACUUCGAGCAAUAUGAUGAUUUAAAUAAUUUGAAGGAGUCGACUCGUUUAAGCUAACAUAGUCCUCUUGCUGCAGCCAGGAUUCUGUGAGAGAGAGCAAAGAGAUCUGAUUAUCACAAAUCAAGUCAUUAACUAACAAAGUCUUAGAAAAAAUGGAUCUAAUGUUCAACAACCCACAUUUAAUUUUUCUAGUUAUCUGCUCAGUUGAGUUUGUUCUAAUAUUUAUGAGAUUUCCAUGAUUUGCUUUAUUAAGCCUGAUAUUUAACCCUUUGAUGCAUAAUGGUCACUACAGUGGACAGGCACUCAAAAUUGUUGUUUGUUUUUGCUAUUAAGCACAGCUGUUGAAGACUUUAUUGCAUUUGAGCCCCUCCAUGUGGAUUUCAGUAAGUCAAGCCAACAUAUUUCAUAUUCAGAAUGCACGCUGUCCACUGAGGUGGACACGUAAUAAAUUAUUUGUAA